rnacentral:rRNA from 1 species
UGGGGAAUAUUGCACAAUGGGCGCAAGCCUGAUGCAGCCAUGCCGCGUGAGUGAAGAAGGCCUUAGGGUUGUAAAACUCUUUCACCGGUGAAGAUAAUGACGGUAGCCGGAGAAGAAGCCCCGGCUAACUCCGUGCCAGCAGCCGCGGUAAUACGGAGGGGGCUAGCGUUGUUCGGAAUUACUGGGCGUAAAGCGCGCGUAGGCGGAUUGGUCAGUUGGGGGUGAAAUCCCGAGGCUUAACCUCGGAACUGCCCUCAAUACUGCCAGUCUAGAGUUCGGAAGAGGUAAGUGGAAUUCCUAGUGUAGAGGUGAAAUUCGUAGAUAUUAGGAAGAACACCAGUGGCGAAGGCGGCUUACUGGUCCGAUACUGACGCUGAGGUGCGAAAGCGUGGGGAAGCAAACGAGGAUUAGAUACCCUGGUAGUCCACGCCGUAAACGAUGAAUGCCAGUUGUCGGAUAGUAUACUAUUCGGUGACACACCUAACGGAUUAAGCAUUCCGCCUGGGGAGUACGGUCGCAAGAUUAAAA